rnacentral:rRNA from 1 species
AAACUCAAAGGAAUUGACGGGGGCCCGCACAAGCGGUGGAGCAUGUGGUUAAUUCGAAGCAACGCGCAGAACCUUACCAACCCUUGACAUGGAUAUCGUAGUUACCAGAGAUGGUUUCGUCAGUUCGGCUGGAUAUCACACAGGUGCUGCAUGGCUGUCGUCAGCUCGUGUCGUGAGAUGUUCGGUUAAGUCCGGCAACGAGCGCAACCCACAUCCCUAGUUGCCAGCAGGUCAAGCUGGGCACUCUAUGGAAACUGCCCGUGAUAAGCGGGAGGAAGGUGUGGAUGACGUCAAGUCCUCAUGGCCCUUACGGGUUGGGCUACACACGUGCUACAAUGGUGGUGACAAUGGGUUAAUCCCAAAAAGCCAUCUCAGUUCGGAUUGGGGUCUGCAACUCGACCCCAUGAAGUCGGAAUCGCUAGUAAUCGCGUAACAGCAUGACGCGGUGAAUACGUUCCCGGGCCUU